AAGGCGAGGCCGAAAGGCGUAGUCGAUGGGAAACGGGUUAAUAUUCCCGUACUUGGUGUUACUGCGAAGGGGGGACGGAGAAGGCUAUGUUGGCCGGGCGACGGUUGUCCCGGUUUAAGCGUGUAGGUGUGUGUUCCAGGUAAAUCCGGUUCACUUUAACACUGAGGCGUGAUGACGAGGCACUACGGUGCUGAAGCAACAAAUGCCCUGCUUCCAGGAAAAGCCUCUAAGCAUCAGGUAACAUCAAAUCGUACCCCAAACCGACACAGGUGGUCAGGUAGAGAAUAC
rnacentral:rRNA from 2 species